rnacentral:rRNA from 1 species
AAUAGAUACCCAGGUAGUCCACGCCGUAAACAAUGAGUGCUAGGUGUUAGGGGGGUCCAACCCCUUAGUGCUGAAGUUAACACAUUAAGCACUCCGCCUGGGGAGUACGACCGCAAGGUUGAAACUCAAAGGAAUUGACGGGGGCCCGCACAAGCAGUGGAGCAUGUGGUUUAAUUCGAAGCAACGCGAAGAACCUUACCAGGUCUUGACAUCCUCUGACAACCCUAGAGAUAGGGCGUUCCCCUUCGGGGGACAGAGUGACAGGUGGUGCAUGGUUGUCGUCAGCUCGUGUCGUGAGAUGUUGGGUUAAGUCCCGCAACGAGCGCAACCCUUGAUGUUAGUUGCCAGCAUUCAGUUGGGCACUCUAACGUGACUGCCGGUGACAAACCGGAGGAAGGUGGGGAUGACGUCAAAUCAUCAUGCCCCUUAUGACCUGGGCUACACACGUGCUACAAUGGGCGGUACAAAGGGCAGCGAAACCGCGAGGUGGAGCCAAUCCCAUAAAGCCGCUCUCAGUUCGGAUUGCAGGCUGC